AUUGAACGCUGGCGGCAGGCCUAACACAUGCAAGUCGAGCGAGCGGCGGACGGGUGAGUAAUGUCUGGGAACCUGCCUGAUGGAGGGGGAUAACUACUGGAAACGGUAGCUAAUACCGCAUACCAUCAGAUGUGCCCAGAUGGGAUUGGCUAGUAGGUAGGGUAACGGCUCACCUAGGCGACGAUCCCCAGCUGGUCUUAGAGGAUGACCAGCCAGGCUGGGACUGAGACACGGUCCAGACUACUAGGGGAGGCAGCAGUGGGGAAUAGGGGACAAUGGGCGCAAGCCUGAGGGUGCCAUGCCGCGUGUGUGAAGAAGGCCGUCGGGGUGUAAAGCACUUUCAGCGGGGAGGCGUUAACCGCAGAAGAAGCACCGGCUAACUCCGUGCCAGCAGCGGCGGUAAUAC
rnacentral:rRNA from 1 species